AUUGAACGCUGGCGGCAUGCUUUACACAUGCAAGUCGAACGGUAACAGGCCGCAAGGUGCUGACGAGUGGCGAACGGGUGAGUAAUGCAUCGGAACGUGCCCAGUCGUGGGGGAUAACGCAGCGAAAGCUGCGCUAAUACCGCAUACGAUCUAUGGAUGAAAGCGGGGGACCGUAAGGCCUCGCGCGAUUGGAGCGGCCGAUGUCAGAUUAGGUAGUUGGUGGGGUAAAGGCUCACCAAGCCGACGAUCUGUAGCUGGUCUGAGAGGACGACCAGCCACACUGGGACUGAGACACGGCCCAGACUCCUACGGGAGGCAGCAGUGGGGAAUUUUGGACAAUGGGGGCAACCCUGAUCCAGCAAUGCCGCGUGCAGGAAGAAGGCCUUCGGGUUGUAAACUGCUUUUGUACGGAACGAAACGGCUCUGGUUAAUACCUGGGGCUAAUGACGGUACCGUAAGAAUAAGCACCGGCUAACUUCGUGCCAGCCGCCGCUGUAAGAC
rnacentral:rRNA from 1 species